rnacentral:rRNA from 1 species
CUCAGUACAUGCCGUAUUAAGGUGAAACCCGCNGAAUGGCUCAUUAAAUCAGUUAUGGUUCCUUAGAUCGUACCCACAUUUACUUGGAUAACUGUGGUAAUUCUAGAGCUAAUACAUGCAAACCAGAGUUCCGACCAGAGAUGGGAGGAACGCUUUUAUUAGAUCAAAACCAAUCGGUGGCGAGCUCGCUCGUCCACCGUUUACCUUGGUGACUCUGAAUAACUUUGUGCUGAUCGCACGGUCUUAGUACCGGCGACGCAUCUUUCAAAUGUCUGCCUUAUCAACUGUCGAUGGUAGGUUCUGCGCCUACCAUGGUUGUAACGGGUAACGGGGAAUCAGGGUUCGAUUCCGGAGAGGGAGCCUGAGAAACGGCUACCACAUCCAAGGAAGGCAGCAGGCGCGCAAAUUACCCACUCCCGGCACGGGGAGGUAGUGACGAAAAAUAACGAUACGGGACUCAUCCGAGGCCCCGUAAUCGGAAUGAGUACACUUUAAAUCCUUUAACGAGGAUCNAUUGGAGGGCAAGUCUGGUGCCAGCAGCCGCGNUAAUUCCAGCUCCAAUAGCGUAUAUUAAAGUUGUUGCGGUUAAAAAGCUCGUAGUUGAAUCUGUGUGUCACGAUGUUGGUUCACCGCUCGCGNUUUUAACUAGCAUGCCGUGAGACGUCCUACCGGUGGGCUUAGCUCUUCGCGGGGCGGUCCAACUAAUAUCCCAUCGCGGUGCUCUUUAUUGAGUGUCGAGGUGGGCCGGUACGUUUACUUUGAACAAAUUAGAGUGCUUAAAGCAGGCUAACUUCGCCUGAAUACUGUGUGCAUGGAAUAAUGGAAUAGGACCUCGGUUCUAUUUUGUUGGUUUUCGGAACCCCGAGGUAAUGAUUAAUAGGGACAGAUGGGGGCAUUCGUAUUGCGACGUUAGAGGUGAAAUUCUUGGAUCGUCGCAAGACGGACAGAAGCGAAAGCAUUUGCCAAAAAUGUUUUCAUUAAUCAAGAACGAAAGUUAGAGGUUCGAAGGCGAUCAGAUACCGCCCUAGUUCUAACCAUAAACGAUGCCAGCUAGCGAUCCGCCGAAGUUCCUCCGAUGACUCGGCGGGCAGC